GUCGAACGGGAAUUAUUUUAUUGAAACUUCGGUCGAUUUAAUUUCAGUUCCAUUGGCGGACGGGUGAGUAACGCGUGGGUAACCUGCCUUAUACAGGGGGAUAACAGUCAGAAAUGGCUGCUAAUACCGCAUAAGCGCACAGAGCUGCAUGGCUCAGUGUGAAAAACUCCGGUGGUAUAAGAUGGACCCGCGUUGGAUUAGCUAGUUGGUGGGGUAACGGCCCACCAAGGCGACGAUCCAUAGCCGGCCUGAGAGGGUGAACGGCCACAUUGGGACUGAGACACGGCCCAGACUCCUACGGGAGGCAGCAGUGGGGAAUAUUGCACAAUGGGGGAAACCCUGAUGCAGCGACGCCGCGUGAAGGAAGAAGUAAUUCGUUAUGUAAAGCUCUAUCAGCAGGGAAGAUAGUGACGGUACCUGACUAAGAAGCUCCGGCUAAAUACGUGCCAGCAGCCGCGGUAAUACGUAUGGAGCAAGCGUUAUCCGGAUUUACUGGGUGUAAAGGGAGUGUAGGUGGCCAUGCAAGUCAGAAGUGAAAAUCCGGGGCUCAACCCCGGAACUGCUUUUGAAACUGUAAGGCUGGAGUGCAGGAGGGGUGAGUGGAAUUCCUAGUGUAGCGGUGAAAUGCGUAGAUAUUAGGAGGAACACCAGUGGCGAAGGCGGCUCACUGGACUGUAACUGACACUGAGGCUCGAAAGCGUGGGGAGCAAACAGGAUUAGAUACCCUGGUAGUCCACGC
rnacentral:rRNA from 1 species